CCUACGGGUGGCAGCAGUGGGGAAUAUUGGUCAAUGGGCGCAACCCUGAACCAGCCAAGCCGCGUGCGCGAGGACGGAUCUAGGUAUUGUAAACUCCUUUAGCAGGGACGAAAACAGACGGUACAUGACUACUACGCCACUGCUACCUACGUGCCAGUAGCCGCGGUACUAGGUAGGGGGCAAGCGUUAUCAGGAUUUACUGGGUGUAAAGGGAUCGUUGGCGGGAAGGCAAGGCAGAUGUGAAAUGCUAGGGCUCAACCCUGGACUUGCUGUUGAAACUGUGGUGCUUGAGUGCAGGAGAGGUAAGUGGAAUUCCUGGUGUAGCGGUGAAAUGCUUAGAUAUCAUGAAGAACACCGAUGGCGAAGGCAGCUUACUGG
rnacentral:rRNA from 1 species